rnacentral:rRNA from 1 species
CAGCAGCCACGGUAAUACGUAGGGUGCGAGCGUUAAUCGGAAUUACUGGGCGUAAAGCGUGCGCAGGCGGUUGUGUAAGACAGGUGUGAAAUCCCCGGGCUUAACCUGGGAACUGCGCUUGUGACUGCACAGCUAGAGUAUGGCAGAGGGGGGUGGAAUUCCACGUGUAGCAGUGAAAUUCGUAGAGAUGUGGAGGAACACCGAUGGCGAAGGCAGCCCCCUGGGCCAAUACUGACGCUCAUGCACGAAAGCGUGGGGAGCAAACAGGAUUAGAUACCCGUGUAGUCCCUGUCUCUUAUAC